CUGGAGACAGGUGCGUGCAUGGCUGUCGUCAGCUCGUGUCGUGAGAUGUUGGGUUAAGUCCCGCAACGAGCGCAACCCUUGCCUUUAGUUGCCAGCAGUUCGGCUGGGCACUCUAAAGGGACUGCCGGUGUUAAACCGGAGGAAGGUGGGGAUGACGUCAAGUCCUCAUGGCCUUUAUGACCAGGGCUACACGCGUACUACAAUGGCCGAUACAAAGGGCAGCGACACUGCGAGGUGAAGCCAAUCCCGUAAAAUCGGUCUCAGUCCGGAUUGGAGUCUGCAACUCGACUCCAUGAAGUUGGAAUCGCUAGUAAUCGUGGAUCAGCAUGCCACGGUGAAUACGUUCCCGGGCCUU
rnacentral:rRNA from 1 species